AACAGCUCAAAUUUGAAAUCUGGCUCUUUCGGGGUCCGAGUUGUAAUUUGCAGAGGAUGCUUCGGGUGCGGCUCCGGUCUAAGUUCCUUGGAACAGGACGUCAUAGAGGGUGAGAAUCCCGUAUGUGAUCGGCCGUCUCGCCCGUGUGAAGCUCCUUCGACGAGUCGAGUUGUUUGGGAAUGCAGCUCAAAAUGGGUGGUAAAUUUCAUCUAAAGCUAAAUAUUGGCCAGAGACCGAUAGCGCACAAGUAGAGUGAUCGAAAGAUGAAAAGCACUUUGGAAAGAGAGUCAAACAGUACGUGAAAUUGUUGAAAGGGAAGCGCUUGCAACCAGACUUGCCCGCGGGUGAUCAGCCGGUAUUUGUACCGGUGCACUCGCCCGUGGUCAGGCCAGCAUCGGUUUGGGCGGCUGGAUAAAGUCCACCGGAAUGUAGCUCCCCUCGGGGAGCGUUAUAGCCGGAGGUGCCAUGCAGCCCGCCCGGACCGAGGACCGCGCUUCGGCUAGGAUGCUGGCGUAAUGGUUGUAAGCGACCCGUCUUGAAACACGGACCAAGGAGUCUAACAUCUAUGCGAGUGUUUGGGUGUCAAACCCAUGCGCGUAAUGAAAGUGAACGGAGGUGGGAACCCUCAAGGGUGCACCAUCGACCGAUCCUGAUGUCUUCGGAUGGAUUUGAGUAAGAGCAUAGCUGUUGGGACCCGAAAGAUGGUGAACUAUGCCUGAAUAGGGUGAAGCCAGAGGAAACUCUGGUGGAGGCUCGCAGCGGUUCUGACGUGCAAAUCGAUCGUCAAAUUUGGGUAUAGGGGCGAAAGACUAAUCGAACCAUNUAGUAGCUGGUUCCUGCCGAAGUUUCCCUCAGGAUAGCAGUAACGUUUUCAGUUUUAUGAGGUAAAGCGAAUGAUUAGAGGCCUUGGGGUUGAAACAACCUUAACCUAUUCUCAAACUUUAAAUAUGUAAGAAGUCCUUGUUACUUAGUUGAACGUGGACAUUUGAAUGUACCGUUACUAGUGGGCCAUUUUUGGUAAGCAGAACUGGCGAUGCGGGAUGAACCGAACGCGAGGUUAAGGUGCCGGAAUGCACGCUCAUCAGACACCACAAAAGGUGUUGAUUCAUCUAGACAGCCGGACGGUGGCCAUGGAAGUCGGAAUCCGCUAAGGAAUGUGUAACAACUCACCGGCCGAAUGAAUCAGCCCUGAAAAUGGAUGGCGCUCAAGCGUGCUACCCAUACCUCGCCGCCA
rnacentral:rRNA from 1 species